rnacentral:rRNA from 1 species
UACGUAGGGUCCGAGCGUUGUCCGGAAUUACUGGGCGUAAAGCGUGCGCAGGCGGUUUUGUAAGCCAGGUGUGAAAUCCCCGGGCUUAACCUGGGAAUGGCAUUUGGGACUGCAAGGCUCGAGUGCGGCAGAGGAGACUGGAAUUCCUGGUGUAGCAGUGAAAUGCGUAGAUAUCAGGAGGAACACCGAUGGCGAAGGCAGGUCUCUGGGCUGACACUGACGCUCAUGCACGAAAGCGUGGGGAGCAAACAGG